AGAACCGGAACGAACUUUUUG
rnacentral:miRNA from 1 species